GUCAAAUUUAUAAAUAAAAUACAUAUUAAAUAUAAAUUUGAAAUAAAAAAUGGUCAACCUGAUACCAAAAUUGUAGCUAUCUUAGACAGGAUAUGCUAAACAUAAGUUUUAAUUCAAUUAAUCAAAUAAAUGAGUAAAACAGUACAAUUAUUGAAAUCUUAGAUGCGUAUAUAAGACUUAACAACCGUUAGCUUAAAAAAACAGUAAUUUAAGUGAAGUGAUAUUUUGGUGCCCUAUUCUUGUCAGCUUAGAGAGAGGUUGAAAAUCGACACGUGGUGGCGCUACUUUCGUUUGACUUAAUGUCGUUAUAGUUAUUUUUAAAUCAAUUCAAUUUUUUUAUAAAUUUACACUGGUCACAUUUCGAUCACAAUUUUUCACCAUUGACCCGCGAUGGUCGUACGUUAUAAAAUAAGAUUUAACCAUACAGGAAUCAAACUCUUACCUGUCACCGUAAACUAUUUUCAGAAAUAAUUAAGGUAUUUAUUUUCGGUUAGAAUAUUAUUAAGUUUUAUCGAUUAAUGAUGUUUCGUAUCUUAAAAUCAACUCACAUUGUACACAGUCCAUAUUAAAGAACGAAAACAAUUUGUGUAUUAAAGAACUUAUUAAAAAUAAA